CUCUGUCUUUGAUCAAAAGUUGAUCGUACUUGGAUUCCCGAUCUCUUCCUUCUAGAUUAGGUCCUGGAAUCGUCUUCUUAGGUGCUCCUCGCUUUCACUGCCCCCGAUCUCUUCCUUCUCAAUUAGGUCAAGAAAGAGAGGACGUGAGAGAAUCAAUUACGAUUCUGAGAUGAUGAACUCGAGGAUUACAUGGAUCAUCAUCAAGCGAACAGGUAGUCUUGGUUUGUGGAGCAGAAGCCAGUUUCUGAGGACUUGACAAAUACAACACACGUUGACAUCAACCUACCAAUGCUGCUCUAUUUGUCCAGAGAGAAGCCCGCCUGGUUCUGAGAUCCCGUACAAGAAAGCAGGAGCACAUAGUUUCUAAGUUCUGAUCUAUGUGUCCAGAUAGAAGCAGCCUGGUUCUGAGAUCACAACAAGAAAGCAGGAGCACAAACAACAACAAAGCUUGAGCUCGAGUACCUACCUUAAACUGCUGCAUUGAACCACCAAUCUUAUAUGUUUGCAAGUCUGGUGUGGAUGAGGAUAACAUUUUUUUGAAGAUGGCAUAUGUUGGGAAAUUCUCAGACAUUUCAUUCUUUGUUUCUGUUGUCUUCUCUCUUGCAAACUCGCAAGUCCGUUUAUAAGCUUGCAAACUAUUAAAGAUAAA